AACCAAGGUAUAUUUUAAACUAUGCUAAGAUCAAUGAUAUUUUUAAAUACUUUUAAAAAAAUGAUAAAUAUAAGAACGAUACAUAACAAUCAAAAGCUUAAAAAUCAUAUUUAAACGAUACCUCAUCGUCGAACAAAACAUUUAUAAGGACGAGAAACGAGGGACAACCCCUGGAAUGGAUUCACUUUCUCAAGACGCGAUAUUAAAAUUACAAUUUACUUAUCAAACUAAUGAUACAUCAUCCCCACAACGUAAUACCAAAGCCUGUGAAACGUUUGAAUAAUGGAACGACGACGAUAUUACAAUAAUAAUCUCAAUUAUCCGACAAGUAGCCCUGUGCACUGUGCAUCAUUCAUGGACGGGAGAUGAAAACAAUUCCACCGAGACGGAGAGAGAGAGAGAGACAGAGAGAACGCGAUACAAUAAUAACAAUCAAAAUUUUCGACUCUCCACGGAUAUCGAUCUUCGACGACGCAAAAACAUUUCCAUCGAAAUAUAAUUGGAACGAGCUUCCUCGACGAUUCUUUGUAAUAAAAAAAAGAAUAAUAAAUAUUGCUGAUUACACUUGAAUGUUUUUACGAAAAAUCCUCGAUUAUUAUUAUUGAUCAUCGAACGCUUGGAUUGGAUAUAUCGGAAAUAAAAUAUUUAACAAAUUGUAAUUAGGGAAAUAACGUUUUUGAAUACCAACAUAUGAUAAAUAAGAUAACUGUAUCACGUUACGAAACUCGGAAGAUAAAAUUCCAUGUAAUAAUAAAAUUUUUGACAAAUAUAUCGAAACUGAUAACACUAACCAA